rnacentral:rRNA from 1 species
AGAUUGAACGCUGGCGGCAUGCCUUACACAUGCAAGUCGAACGGCAGCACGGGGGCAACCCUGGUGGCGAGUGGCGAACGGGUGAGUAAUGCAUCGGAACGUGCCCAGUAGUGGGGGAUAACUAGUCGAAAGAUUAGCUAAUACCGCAUACGACCUACGGGUGAAAGCUGGGGACCUUUACCGGCCUCGCGCUAUCGGAGCGGCCGAUGUCUGAUUAGCUAGUUGGCGGGGUAAGAGCCCACCAAGGCAACGAUCAGUAGCUGGUCUGAGAGGACGACCAGCCACACUGGGACUGAGACACGGCCCAGACUCCUACGGGAGGCAGCAGUGGGGAAUCUUGCGCAAUGGGCGAAAGCCUGACGCAGCAACGCCGCGUGGGGGAUGAAGGCCUUCGGGUUGUAAACCCCUUUCAGCAGGGACGAAAUUGACGGUACCUGCAGAAGAAGCCCCGGCCAACUACGUGCCAGCAGCCGC